rnacentral:rRNA from 1 species
CCUACGGGGGGCUGCAGUGAGGAAUUUUGCGCAAUGGCCGCAAGGCUGACGCAGCAACGCCGCGUGGGUGAUGAAGGCCUUCGGGUCGUAAAGCCCUGUCAGGUGGGAAGAAAGGCCUGGAGAGGAAAGGUUUCAGGUUUGACGGUACCACCAGAGGAAGCACCGGCUAACUCCGUGCCAGCAGCCGCGGUAAUACGGAGGGUGCGAGCGUUAUUCGGAAUUACUGGGCGUAAAGCGCGUGUAGGCGGGGGGACAAGUCUGAUGUGAAAGCCCUGGGCUUAACCUGGGAAGCGCAUUGGAAACUGUUUUUCUUGAGUACUGGAGAGGAAGGGGGAAUUCCCGGUGUAGAGGUGAAAUUCGUAGAGAUCGGGAGGAAUACCAGUGGCGUAGGCGCCCUUCUGGACGGUAACUGACGCUGAGACGCGAAAGCGUGGGGAGCAAACAGGAUUAGAUACCCCAGUAGUC